UCCCUGGUGGCCCAGUGGUUAAGAUUCUGCACUCGCAAUGCAGGGGACCUGGGUUCGAUCCCUGGCCAGGGAA